rnacentral:rRNA from 1 species
GUUUUUAGAUUGUUAAUUUAAGGUUGGGCCUGCUCUAUGAUUUAUUUAAAUGGCUGCAGUAUUUUGACUGUACUAAGGUAGCAUAAUCAUUAGUUUCUUAAUUAGGAACUUGUAUGAAUGGUUUGACGAGGCAGGGGCUUUUUUUAUUUUAUUAUGUGAAUUUUACUUUUAAGUGAGAAGGCUUAAAUUAUUAUAUGGGACGAGAAGACCCUAUAGAUUUUUAUUAUACAUUGGUUAAGAUUUUAAUUGAUUUAUAAUUUGAUUGGGGUGAUUUUUGAAUUUAGUGAACUUUAAAUUUUUUAAAACAUUUAUUUAUGAUUUAUUGAUCCAUUAUUAUGUGAUUAAAAGAAUAAAUUACCUUAGGGAUAACAGCGUAAUAUGAUUUAGAGUUCUUAUCGAAAAUUAUGUUUGCGACCUCGAUGUUGGAUUAAGAUUAAAUGUUAAUGUAGCGGUUAAUAUUUUUGGUCUGUUCGACCAUUGUAAUCUUACAUGAUCUGAGUUUAAACCGGUGUGAGCCAGGUUGGUUUCUAUCUUUAUUACUUUAUAUAUUUUAGUACGAAAGGACCAGGUGUAUAUUAAUUUAAUUUUAUUUGAAUAAUUUAA